GUGAGGUAACGGCUCACCAAGGCAUCGACGGGUAGCUGGUCUGAGAGGAUGAUCAGCCACACUGGGACUGAGACACGGCCCAGACUCCUACGGGAGGCAGCAGUGGGGAAUAUUGCGCAAUGGGCGAAAGCCUGACGCAGCGACGCCGCGUGGGGGAGGAAGGCCUUAGGGUUGUAAACCGCUUUCAGGAGGGAAGAAAAUGACGGUACCUCCAGAAGAAGGUGCGGCCAACUACGUGCCAGCAGCCGCGGUGACACGUAGGCACCAAGCGUUAUCCGGAUUUAUUGGGCGUAAAGAGCUCGUAGGCGGCUCAGCAAGUCGGUCGUGAAAGCCCGGGGCUCAACCCCGGGACGCCGAUCGAAACUGCUGUGGCUAGGGUCCGGUAGAGGAGAGUGGAAUUCCCGGUGUAGCGGUGAAAUGCGCAGAUAUCGGGAGGAACACCAGUAGCGAAGGCGGCUCUCUGGGCCGGUACCGACGCUGAGGAGCGAAAGCAUGGGGAGCAAACAGGAUUAGAUACCCUGGUAGUCCAUGCCGUAAACGGUGGGCACUAGGUAUGGGACCUUAUCAACGGGUUCCGUGCCGUAGCUAACGCAUUAAGUG
rnacentral:rRNA from 1 species